GGGGGAGAACAGUCUGUGAGAGCAUGAAAAUGUUCUAAGCAUGACAUUGUGAAGGAAAAUUGGAAUGUUCACCAUACACUGAGCGUUAGAAAAAAUAGACAUGGUAUAGGCCCUGCUCUCAAUAGGCUUAAGACAAAACAAGUAAGACAUGAGAGCAAGAGCCUGAUAAGAUAGUUCAAAGCUGUGAGGAAAGCGCACAGUGUAUGACUUAGCGUCGUGGUUGUGCUGGUGGAGAGUGCUGCUGGGAAGAGAGACUGAAGAAAUGAUGACUGUGGUGGAGGAAGAGAUAAGAGGAUAAGAGCAAUGGCUUGAAAGAAAAGCCUCAAAGCACUCAAACCUCCUUUGUGUAAUGAUGGACAUGAUCUUGAGAAUGUCCAUUUCAGGAAACACCAUAACAUUGUGUGUGUGUGUGUGUGUGUGUGUGUGUGUGUGUGUGUGUGUGUGUGUGCUUAAAAAGCCACCACCAUAAAAGAUGUAGAGUCCACUCAUGAAGCUCAAGUACCAGUUUUUGCCCAUGAAUGUGGAACUUUCUGCUAUCCUGCAAACAGUAACUGUCACAUUAUACAGGCACAGCUCUCAUUUUCUUGGUUAUUUAGUGGCCAUAUAUAAACACGUAUAUGGCUUGUGGUAAAUAUGGUGAUUCUCACUUUAUACCCAAAGAGGGUGGAUGUUACAGCUUGUGAGCAGUUAUGACCGUAAAGCCUGCCGUGUGAGUCACGGGGUUUGGCCCAGGUAUUACGAUGUGUUUUUAUUCAUGUUGGUUAGCUGGAUUUCCUGGGCUAACCUCGUUGGAGUUUGCUUUGUGAGCAGUGGACCAGAUCUGUACUGAUAGAUCAAGUCUCUGAAUUCUGCUCCUAGUUCUCUGACUAUUUGGUUCUGCAAUUUGGGGAAAACUUUUUAAUCUUUCUGUUCUCAGUUCCUCUUUCUGUAAGCAAGGGAUCAGACCAAAUUCCACCCAUUCUCUGCUGUGGCAGAGACUGUUCAUGCUGACUAUCCUUAACAGAUUUGUUCAGUCAGUAACCAAUGUAAUUAUGGUUACAAAGUGCAUCUUAAUUAUAUUAGAUGACAUCUACCCAGCCAAAAGAUGCUUAUUAGCCUCCCUUAGAAAUAGGUGUAGCCAAUGAAAUGUAAGCAGAGGGAGCUCCUCUCCAGAAGCACUCCCUUUCACCCUUGUUCCUCUUCCUGUAGUAUUGACUUGGGAAUGUUCAUGUGAUGACUGGAGCACCAGUGGCCGUCUUGCAACCUGAAUGGUCUUGAGAAUAGAAGACAUAUAUAAAGGAUGGUGGCACAGAAAGAAUAGGAGCCUGAGUCUCUGGUGAAAAUGCUGUCAUCAUUCAACAUUGGCCUACAUCUGGAUUUUCUUCACAUGAGACAAAAAUAAACCUUUCUUUGACUGAAGCCACUACUAGCCACCUAAUUCAACUUGUAACUAAUAUAUUGGCAUCUUUAUAUAACUUUCCAUACUAGGUUCACUAUUUGCGAUAUUGGAGAUGAGCUUAAUAAUAAACUUGGGAUUUUUGGUUCUAUUAAAGGCAUAUCAUAAUUUACAAAAUUUCUAAAAUCAAGUAAUUAUUCGAUUUAUGAAGACACAGCCAUGAUGUGUGAAGAAUUGCCAGCAUUUGGUAGAAACUGGGAGGGAGAAAACCAAGGGAGAAAACUACAGUUUAGGUUUUUAGGGCCACACCUGGUGGUUCCCAGACUGGGGGUCAAAUCAGAGCUGCAGCUGCUGGCCCUAUGCCACAGCCACGGCAAUGCCAGAUCCAAGCCAUGUCUGUGAUCUACACCACAGCUCACGGCAACGUCGGAUCCUUAACCCACUGACCAGGGCCAGGGAUCGAAUCUGCAUCCUCCUGGAUACCGGUUGGGUUUGUUACACUGAGCCACUAAGAAAACUCUCCAGAACUUUUUAAUUAUUGAAAAUUGUUGGGGUUUGGGAAGCUGAAAGUAUUUUUUAUCUCAGUUUGUAGCAAGUUCAUGUUUUAAUAGAAUGCAUACCUCUAUUUCUCAGUACACCUGUGCUUUGAUCUCCUUGUCUGUCAUUGCAAUGCGAUUAUGAGGAUUACUGGGUCAUUCUCAGCCUAAGUUGUUUGUGUGAUUUAAUUUUCUGGGAGAGGAAGGGGAUCAUUAAAGGAUAUCAUUAAAAGGAGAGACAUGAGGCUUGUAAUUGACCUUCCUUGAAAGUAGUCCCAUCUGGAAGAUUUUAUCGGUAAACAUUUAUCAGUGUAUUUGGCUUUUAAGAAGAUUCUUCUCCUCUUGUCUUUAAAACAAACAGGCAAGAGGAACCACAUAAGUGCUUCUAGGUUGCUUUCAUGCAUACUCACUGGGAAGAAAAUUUAUAUGUAAGAAAAAAGUUCUCUUCAAGAUAAUUAUGAUUCUUUUUUUUCAGUUUUGCUUCAAUGAGUCUCUUUCUCAGAUUAUAAUUUGCAGGUGAUGGUGUUCUUCAAUGAUUAUGCUUUGUUGUGAUUUGUUAUCAUGAAUGUUUACAGCAGAGGUGUUAGGAGGGAUGGGAUAUCUAUGAAAUCGAUGUGCAGGAGCUUUGAAAAUCUCUUCCAGCUCUGUAAGUGUGUUAAGCCCAGCACUAGUCUGUAACUUCACAUUGUACUUUUCUAGAAGACAUGAACUAUUUUUAGGAAGACAGACGUUGCUGUGGUUUAAAUAAAAGUACCAACAUGACGUAUUACCAGUAGAGUACAUAACCCAAGCAGUCUCGUAAAGUUGUGUUUUUUGAGUAUCAGAAGUGCUUCAGUUUUUACAUAUCUGAAAGUUUUCCUGUUUGCUUGGUUUUAUUUGUUUACUUAAUCGCAGUCAAUAGUUACAACCCUUGUUGUCUUCCAGUUCCACAUCUACUUUAAGAAAGAAAAUUUGUGUUUUUAAAUCUGUUUUGCACUUUUACAUUACAUUUACUGAGACAUUUCGCCUUGCUGACAGCCAACCAGGUUUCUACCACUCCCUUGAGAAUACACUCUUCAGUCAAUUCAAAAAGCAGCAUUUGACUUUGUGGAGUUAAGGGUAUUAUACACCCAUAAGCAGUUGUUACACACUGGUUUUUUUCACACUCAGUAAAAUGUCCUGGAUGCAUUUCUUCUACAUGCAGUAUGUUAAUGGCUUCCUUUCCCCACUUAAUGAGGGUUCCAUGAAGUUUUAGGCCAAGUAUGGAUUCCAUAUGGAUUUCACCGCUUGAGGAGGCUUAGUUAUUCUCUGUGUCCUAUUAUCAGAACUCUCUCCAUUUGUGGCUUCAUUCCCAGUUUCCAUACACCUGGGACAGCACAAGUGUCAGAAUCCUAGAGCUAUAUCUUUCCAGGUUUUUCAUCCAACAGAAAAAGAGAGCUUUUCUCUCUAGCAGCUCCCAUACAAUAAGGUUGUAGACCCUACCGUGAGCCAGUCACAGCGGCCCCAUCGAACAGUGAGGAAGCUCCCCCAAAGGGAAUCCGGAUACUGUUUUCAAAGGAAAGGAAAACUGGGAGUGCCUGACUGGCUCAGCGGUUAAAAAAUCUGACUAGCAUCCAUGAGGAUGCAGGGAUCAAACCCACAACCCCAUGGUUCCUAGUCGGAUUCGUUUCCGCUGCACCAAGAUGGGUACUCCUGAUAAACUGGAUUAUUUGUAAAAGAAUACUAAAAUACCAAGCAAGAUUUGUUUUCUGUCUUAAUUUUUUUUUUUUUGUUCCAUUCCUUUUAGGUAAGAAUUAGCAUCUGAAAACACCGCAUUAUAGGAUUAUAAAUAAAAGUUUCCAUUGUAAUUUCAUCAGCAUAAAGAAAUCACUUCUCCACUUUAUCAUGCAGGAGAGUUGAAUGCUGGGUCAUUUGUUAAUUGUAAAGGUCAUUCUUCAUAAUUUUUUUUUAAUGACUUGCAAAAUUUGAUGCUGGCAGUAUACCAAGUCUAAGCAAAACUGACUUCAAAAUGAGUGUUGGGCCUUUAUUGUUUCCUGCAUGUUGCUCACUGACCCAUCUCUUCAGAGGUAUCAGCUGUGUGAAAACACUAGUGCCUUUUUCCAAAAACACAAGAUCUGGUUGACUUCAUCGCUUUGGUCAGCCUCUUGUUAUCCUGACCCAAAAUAGUGUUAGCAAAAAGAAAUUGUUGUCUCAGGCCUCCAGAAUCUCAGAGCAGUGCUAAGAGUACCCCCUACUCUUUCCCGUGUUUCUACAUUUAGUUUCAUUGUGGAGGAUAAAGCACAGCUUCUGUGCUUUCCUCUUUGGGAAUCUUUUCUGUGCACUAUACUGGCUCCACCAGUCCUUCCUUUGAAUUCUCUGGUGUCUCAGGCAUGGUGUAAUUGAAUUCUAGGUUACAAAUGUAUUUUCACAACACUUUGCAGGCUUCUUUCCAUUGUUCUCUAACAUUGGUGACAUCCCAAUGUCUAUCAAAACCUAUUUGUCUCUGUAUAGAAAUGUAUGACUGUCUCGUCCUCCUUGAUGUCUCUGUAUUUCAUGAUCAAUUGUCUUGGUCUUGUCUUUUCACUCCAGAUAUAUGGGUUCUUUAAUUCUGUUUUUUUGUUUUUUUUUUAUUAGUUCACUGAUUAUUUUAUCUUCUUCACUUUCUCUGUUCCUGGGAUUCUUGUUAGUUGAAGUUGGACCUUCUAGAUCAAACCCUUUAAUUUCCUCUCUUUUCUUCCUCUUUUUCAUCUCUUUGGUGUUUUGUUAUACCUUCUAGAAAUUUCUUCAAAUUUAUCUUCCAAACUUUCUUUUAAAAGUUUCAUUUUGGGAGUUCCCUAGUGGCCUAGUAGUUAAGGAUCCAGGGUUGUCAUCACUGUGGCGCAGGUUUGAUCGCUGAUCCGAGAGGGUCUGCAUGCCCAGGGAACGGCCAAAAUUUGUUUUCCAUUUUGGCUGUUUGUUUUCAAUUUCAACACUCUCCUGUCCUCUGCUCUUGCCUUUUUAAUAGCACCCAUUCUUAUGUCAGCAAUACAUUAUCCUUCUACACAAAUGAUAGUUCUUUAGAGGUUUUCCUCUUUCUCUCUGUUUCCUGUGGAUUUUUUUACUCAGUUGAUGUGGUUUGCUCAUUCUGUCCUCUCCUUCAUCCUGGAUAAUUCCCUAGAGAGGCUGUACAUUUGUAUUUAAAGGUUGCUCUCUCACUCACUUACACAUACACACACACUCGCACACACACAGACAACAGAACUGUGAUGAUAAGGACAAAUACACUAUCAAAGACAGCAAAACAAUAAUGAUGACAAGACUAAAUACACUAUCAAAGUUCUGUGAACAUGGAUGGGGCUUGUCAGCUGUGGAGUCUCAAUACAGCAUGAUGGGUUUUUCAGGUGGCUUGUUCUUUGGGAAGUUCUCCAGUAUCACUAUGAGGAGAUUCUCCAGUUCAUUCCUGGGAGAUAUGCACCUGUGGACAUAUAACUGACUGCUAGGGUUCAGGAAACAUGGCAUAUAAGCAGGUUGGUUGUCUGACUAGGAACUCCUCAGUCAAACAUCUAUUUUUCGACUUGGGUCACACUUUUUUGGUCACAGUGCCUGAUGUCUUCAGUUUGAUGUCUUUCUGGUCUGUGUUCUCCAGAAAAGAUUCCGUCUCCAGCAGGAGAGAGAAGUAGUUGGGACCCAAAGUCUCCACAUAUUUUUUUUUAAAUUAAAGUUUAAUUGAUUUACAUUGUUGUGUCAAUUUCUGCUGUAUAACAUAGUGACCAAUUCAUAUACAGAUAUAUGUGUGUGUGUGUGUAUUUAUACACAUAUUCUUUUUCUUAUACUAUCUUCUAUCGUGCUCUAUCCCAAGAGAUUGGAUAUAGUUCCAUAUAAUUUUAAUGUACUUUCAGCCUCUCCCUAAACUCCCACCUGCCUUCCUUAGAGUAUGCUUCCUUCCGCUAAGCGCUCCGUCUCUCGGGGCUGGGCAGAACAUAUUAGUUCACUUUCUCGUGGAAUUGCUCUCUCUAGUCAUUUCCUCCAUUGUGCUAAGGCAUUUUCUACUUCUCUGUCCACUAAACAUUUCUAGAAAUUCCUCCUUUGAUGGUCUCCUCCCUCAUUAUCUAUGCCUCUGUGGCUUUGUGUGUUUUUAUUUUAGUGAGAUGUCAAAAAGAGGAAGAGCAGAUAAGCCUGUAGGAUUUCGCCGUCUUUACUAGAAAUCCAGGGGAACCAUAGCUGAGGAGGAAGGAGGCUUGGAAGAGCACUUAUAAUAGGAAAAAGUGAUCAAACAAGUUGGAUUAAAGAUCAGCAAAACUGUAGAAGGUGCUGCUUCUGCUGAUAGCUAACAUUUACUGAGUGCUCAUUAUGCACUUGGAGCUUUGCAAAAAUUUCUUUACAUGGGACAUUU
rnacentral:lncRNA from 1 species